rnacentral:misc_RNA from 1 species
UCCCUUCACCCGGAGUUCCUUCAUUGGAUGGGGCGUCAAUAGGGCUCGAAUAGUAGUAACAAUUGGGCCCUGCAUCCCACAAACAACAAUUUGAUCUCCUUCAUGCAACACACCAUUAACCAAUAUGACAUCAAUAGUUGUUCCAUGGCCUUCAACAACCUUGACCUCCAAGACCGUGCACUGCACUUCAUCACUAUAUGUAAGUUUCUUCGUCAUAGUUCUCUGGGCCCACUGCACCAAUAAUAGUAACAUGUCUGGAAUACCUUCACCAG